ACUCGUCUGGAACAAAGACAGGACGGGGAAGAGAAAGAAAACUUGAAGGCAGCCGCGGAUCUUCCAAAAUAAAGGUUAAAUCGUCCCGGAGAGUUAUGCGAAGUGAGCCAGCCGCAGACGCCCAGGAGUCAAUCUGCAGUUUAAUGCUCCUCGGACGCAUCUGCCGACACGUUGGGUGCCCAUUCAGUAAUUUCCAAUUGCAGCACGCAGCGAUUUGCAUUUGCCCUCUUUCUUUAUAUAAAGCGCCGGUGGAAGCCGGAGUGUUUACCUCCAGUGUGGUAUCAUUUAUUAACUAUUUAAUGCAUAAAAUAUGACAGCUGCUUUCACGGGGCGGCAAUUAAUCGCUCAAGUUUUUUUUAAGUGGCGGAAGUUUGACAAUUCCGGAAAAAAAAGUCCCCCGAAAUGGACAAGCCUGCAGAUGGAACUGAUAGAAAGUUGGAUCAUUUGUUCAGCCGCCGGCCAUCCCUCACUAACCGGCCGGUUCUCCCCGGAACUCGGCGGUGUUCAGAAAGUAAGAUAAAGUGAACCGGUCUUGCUAUGCAGCAGAAAAUGAUACUAUGCCCCGAAUAUGUUUUGCUCGUGUACAGCCCGGUACUUUCAGAAAUUAAUCCGUUCCAAACCUUGACCAAAAUGAGAACGAUCCAGGACGUGAAGUAUAUAACCGGGCACCAAUGAGACACGGCUGGGCGAAUUGCGGAAGAACAUUCGAGAGUCGGCCAGUGUCAUGCUUGUGAUAUUACACUGUAUAUAAUUUAACUGGUCGUUCUGAGUGCGUCAACCCAAGGUCAACUAUCAUGUCUUUGGCAAGAAAGUCCACCACAAUCUGUGACAGAAUCGCUUAAGCUGCCAGUCUUGAAAGCGUAUAUUUCAGGGGAGAAAGCCAAGGCACGAAACAACAAUGAAAAAAAAAUGGAUCCAAACUGAACACUUUCUCUUCCUGAUACAGUAUUGUGAAAAUUGUGGAUAAGGCUGUGCCUAUUCACACACUCUGCACAAACCAAUAUCAGCUGAACAGUCGCUUAUUUUUUUCAA